rnacentral:rRNA from 1 species
GAUGAACGCUGGCGGCGUGCCUAAUACAUGCAAGUCGAGCGAACGGACGAGAAGCUUGCUUCUCUGAUGUUAGCGGCGGACGGGUGAGUAACACGUGGAUAACCUACCUAUAAGACUGGGAUAACUUCGGGAAACCGGAGCUAAUACCGGAUAAUAUUUUGAACCGCAUGGUUCAAAAGUGAAAGACGGUCUUGCUGUCACUUAUAGAUGGAUCCGCGCUGCAUUAGCUGGUUGGUAAGGUAACGGCUUACCAAGGCAACGAUGCAUAGCCGACCUGAGAGGGUGAUCGGCCACACUGGAACUGAGACACGGUCCAGACUCCUACGGGAGGCAGCAGUAGGGAAUCUUCCGCAAUGGGCGAAAGCCUGACGGAGCAACGCCGCGUGAGUGAUGAAGGUCUUCGGAUCGUAAAACUCUGUUAUUAGGGAAGAACAUAUGUGUAAGUAACUGUGCACAUCUUGACGGUACCUAAUCAGAAAGCCACGGCUAACUACGUGCCAGCAGCCGCGGUAAUACGUAGGUGGCAAGCGUUAUCCGGAAUUAUUGGGCGUAAAGCGCGCGUAGGCGGUUUUUUAAGUCUGAUGUGAAAGCCCACGGCUCAACCGUGGAGGGUCAUUGGAAACUGGAAAACUUGAGUGCAGAAGAGGAAAGUGGAAUUCCAUGUGUAGCGGUGAAAUGCGCAGAGAUAUGGAGGAACACCAGUGGCGAAGGCGACUUUCUGGUCUGUAACUGACGCUGAUGUGCGAAAGCGUGGGGAUCAAACAGGAUUAGAUACCCUGGUAGUCCACGCCGUAAACGAUGAGUGCUAAGUGUUAGGGGGUUUCCGCCCCUUAGUGCUGCAGCUAACGCAUUAAGCACUCCGCCUGGGGAGUACGACCGCAAGGUUGAAACUCAAAGGAAUUGACGGGGACCCGCACAAGCGGUGGAGCAUGUGGUUUAAUUCGAAGCAACGCGAAGAACCUUACCAAAUCUUGACAUCCUUUGACAACUCUAGAGAUAGAGCCUUCCCCUUCGGGGGACAAAGUGACAGGUGGUGCAUGGUUGUCGUCAGCUCGUGUCGUGAGAUGUUGGGUUAAGUCCCGCAACGAGCGCAACCCUUAAGCUUAGUUGCCAUCAUUAAGUUGGGCACUCUAAGUUGACUGCCGGUGACAAACCGGAGGAAGGUGGGGAUGACGUCAAAUCAUCAUGCCCCUUAUGAUUUGGGCUACACACGUGCUACAAUGGACAAUACAAAGGGCAGCGAAACCGCGAGGUCAAGCAAAUCCCAUAAAGUUGUUCUCAGUUCGGAUUGUAGUCUGCAACUCGACUACAUGAAGCUGGAAUCGCUAGUAAUCGUAGAUCAGCAUGCUACGGUGAAUACGUUCCCGGGUCU